rnacentral:rRNA from 1 species
UACGUAGGGUCCGAGCGUUGUCCGGAAUUAUUGGGCGUAAAGGGCUCGUAGGCGGUUCGUCACGUCGGGAGUGAAAACUCGGAGCUUAACUCCGAGCCUGCUUCCGAUACGGGCAGACUAGAGGUAGGCAGGGGAGAGCGGAACUCCUGGUGUAGCGGUGGAAUGCGCAGAUAUCAGGAAGAACACCGGUGGCGAAGGCGGCUCUCUGGGCCAUUACUGACGCUGGAGGCAAGCGAAGG